AUGGCCACCGGCGGCAGCUCUUCAGGCAAAGGAGAAGGUAAUCCCUAUCACCACUGUUGCCGGAAUUCUAGCCUACCCGAUCCAAGAGGAUCUAACAAUGGUAUCAGACCAUGUAAGGCUAAGAUUUUCGGUAAUCCCUCCCUCCCCCCAAGAAACCUAGACAGGGCAAAGAAAAAUUCCUCAACAGAGAAAGUAGCGCCGCCGUCAUGGCCGCGCCGUUCCUCUCGAUCCGGAUGGGAAUCGGCAUGCCGAGCCAUUCAGAAGAAGAACAUGGGCAGUGGGGGCACCACGCCUUCAUCACUGCCAAAAGAACAGACCCCAUCAGGGCAAAGGGGCACCGCGGCCAAACCGCUCGACGGCGGCGCGCUCACCACACGGGGAACGCGCAACCGGCGAGGGGGAUGGCAACGGCGCCACUGCAGGACUGCUCUGCCAUCGCCGCGGGCAGGGGGAGCACAGAAGGGCGGACCACGCGUCUCACUCCCUCUCUGUUACAGAAAGGAAAAGAGGGAAGGGAAAGAGCUCGCGCGGCGCGGUGGCACGACGUUGUCGCUGCCGGCCGCCGGAACCCCAUCCCGCUGCACCGAGCAGGGGAGCAGAAAAGGGCUCCACCGCGUCUCUCUCUGUUGA
rnacentral:rRNA from 1 species